UAACGCCUCUUUAACUAACUUUGGGAACACCCACUGAACCCCAACAAGGGCAAGGACGAUCUCCCAAAGGGCCCUUACCACUAUACAAUGUAAAAGAAUGUGAUUUACAUUUUCCUCUUCACAACCACACAAAAAACAGCGGUUAGGGAGCUGCCAUCCCCUUUUUUGAAGCUUAUCCAAGGUGAGAAUCUUCCCCCACGCAGCUUCCCAAGCAAAAAAGGCCGCUUUGGUUGGGACCUUGUCCACCCAAACGCAUUUAGUCGGAAGGCGCAUGCAUUGGUAACAGCCAGCACAUUGUAGGCAACCUUAACCCCAUAUUUGCCAUGACCCCCACCUUUCCAUAGCACAGCGUCCUCCUCUGAAGAUAUCCUGAAGUCCCUGAGCAUAUUAAGCAAUCUUCU
rnacentral:lncRNA from 1 species